rnacentral:lncRNA from 1 species
GGUGGGGGGGGUCAAUGGGGGGCGUGGGGGGUCAAUGGGGGACACUGGGACCCAUUGGGGGAUGUGGGGGUCAAUGGGGGACAUGGGGAGUCAAUGGGGGACACUGGGAGCCAACUGGGGACACUGGGACCCAAUGGGAGGUGUGGGGAGCCAAUGGGGUUAUGGGGGCACAAUGGGACAAAGGGGACCCAAUCGGGGACACGGGGACCCCAUGGGAAACUUGGGGACUCAAUGGGGAGUGUGGGGACCCAACGGGGACCCGAUGGGUUAUGGGGACCCAACUGGGGACUUGGGGACCCAAUGGGGGACGUGGGGACACAAUGGGGGACACGGGCACCCAAUAGAGGACUUGGGGACCCAACGGGGGACUUGGGGAGCCAACGGGGGACACGGGCACCUAACAAGGGACACAGGGACCCAAUGGGGGACGUGGGCACCCAAAUGGGCAAUGGGGACCCAACGGGCACCCAAUGGGGCACUUGGGGACCCAAUAGGGGACUUGGGACCCAGUGGGGUUAUGGGGACCCAAUGAAGACCCAAUGGGGACCCAAUGGGGACACGGGCACCCAAUGGGGAACAUCGGCACCCAAUGGGGGACUUAGGGACCCAACGGGGACAUGGGCACCCAAUGAAGACCCAACGGGGACCCAAUGGGGCAAGGGGGACCCAAUGGGGGAUUUGGGGACGCAAUGGGGACCCAAUGGGCACCCAACGGGGACACGGGCACCCAAUGGGGAACAUCGGCACCCAAUGGGGGACUUGGGGACCCCAUGGGGGACAUGGGGACCUAAAGAAGACCCAAUGGGGACCCAAUGGGGGGCACGGGCACCCAACAGGGGACUUGGGGACCCAAAGAAGGCCCAACAGGACCCCACGGGGGACUUAGGGACCCAAUGGGGACACGGGCACCCAAUGAAGACCCAACGGGGACCCAAUGGGGUCUUGGGGACCCACUGGGGUUUUGGGGACCCAAUGGGGUCUUGGGGACCCAAUGGGGGACACGGGGACCCCAUGGGGGACUUAGGGACCCAGUGGGGACCCAAUGGGCACCCAAUGGGGCAAUGGGGACCCAACAGGGGACUUGGGGACCCAAUGGGGGACUUCAGGACCCCCUGGGGGUCUUGGGGACCCCAUGGGGGACUUGGGGACCCAAUGGGGGAUUUUGGGACCCCAUGGGGGACUUGGGGACCCAAUGGGGGAUUUUGGGACACAAUGGGGUUAUGGGGACCCAAUGGGGGUCUUGGGGACCCAAUAGGGGACAUGGACACCCAAUGGGGCAAAGGGGACCCCAUGGGGGAUUUGGGGACCCAACGGGCACCCAACGGGGCCCCAAUGGUUCCUCCGCUCCCCCCCCUCCCCCUCCCCUCCCUCCCCCUCCUCCCCCUCCCCCCCCUCCCCCCCCCCCCCCCCCGCAGUCCCCCAAACCCUAUAGGAAGCCCCCCAAAAUCCUCCUCAGCCCGUCGUGGUGGCCCUAAAACCUCCCGGGGACCCCAAAAUCCCAAGGGGGAGCCCCAAAAUCUACAGGGGGGCCCUAAACCCAUGGUGGGGGCCCCAAAAAGCUCACGGGGAGCCCCAAAACCACCCUGAGGGGCCCCCAAACGACGUAGGGGCCCCCAAAAGCUCAGGGGGGGCUCACCCAGGGCCCUGGUUUUGGGGUGAAAAGCUCCAAGUUUGGGCCGGGCCUGGAAUGAGUGGCACAAUAAAGAAAUUUUUGGGAAAAAAAGGAGCA